UACGUAGGGUGCAAGCGUUAAUCGGAAUUACUGGGCGUAAAGCGUGCGCAGGCGGUUCUAUAAGACAGAUGUGAAAUCCCCGGGCUCAACCUGGGAACUGCAUUUGUGACUGUAGAGCUGGAGUGCGGCAGAGGGGGAUGGAAUUCCGCGUGUAGCAGUGAAAUGCGUAGAUAUGCGGAGGAACACCGAUGGCGAAGGCAGUGUCCUGGCUGGUGACUGACGCUGAGGUGCGAAAGCUAGGGGAGCGAACGGG
rnacentral:rRNA from 1 species